rnacentral:rRNA from 1 species
UACGUAGGGUGCGAGCGUUGUCCGGAAUUAUUGGGCGUAAAGAGCUUGUAGGCGGUCCGUCGCGUCGGAAGUGAAAACUCAGGGCUCAACCCUGAGCCUGCUUUCGAUACGGGCAGACUUGAGGGAUGUAGGGGAGAACGGAAUUCCUGGUGGAGCGGUGGAAUGCGCAGAUAUCAGGAGGAACACCAGUGGCGAAGGCGGUUCUCUGGACAUUUCCUGACGCUGAGAAGCGAAAGCGUGGGGAGCAAACAGG